UAGGAAAUGCCUUUCACCUCCUGCCAUAAUUCUGAGGCCUCCCAGCCACGUGGAACUGUCCUAUUGCCACUUUUCAGCGCUGCAGCAGCUAGUCAGAUGACAACUGGGUGAGAACUUGGUCUCGAGUGUUUCCUGUGAGGCCGGAAUAUUGCUCUGAUUCCUCAGGGGCAACUCAGCACUCCAGUGGGAAAUAUGUGACCUCAUUUGCAUUUCCUAAUUGAAUUGCUAUCAGCUUUCCUGCAAGACUGCACCAAAGAACAGUUCUUCCAGAUUCCAGCACUGCCUGCAUUGCCCACAGAAAGGCUGCUUUUAAAUAGUUGCUAAGAGAGGGGGACAAAAGAAGGAGAAAAGUUGCCAAAUUGUUAUGGUUCAUCUAACUGUAAAGCUGUCAGUUUUACCCAACUCCACAGAAUUGCUAAAAUAAUGGACGGAUGAUGCUGCACUUGAAGAAACCUCUACAUAAGAGAAAUGAAAUUCACAGAACCAGGAAAUUAGGGGUCCCCGUGUGCCUGCCCUGGCAGAAUUUGCUUCCAGGCUCCUCUCAAUAAACACUGCCCUGGGACUCCUAGCACUCUGUAAACUGAUGCUUUGAAGGAGUCCAUUUGUUUCUCCAGAAACUUCCUCCAGCAGAACUCUUGCUCACCACGUGCCCCCAUCAGAACUCCCACCUUCUCCAAACACAGUCAGAUAGCCCUCUGCAUGCAUUUGUUUUAAAAAAAACUAAAUUGUGAGUGAUAGUAUAAGCACCACAGCAUACAGAGCAUCAGCUAAAUAAAUGAUGGCAGAAUGAGCACCUGUCUUGCCACAAGGCUCCCUCCAA